rnacentral:rRNA from 1 species
GAUCAUGGCUCAGGACGAACGCUGGCGGCGUGCUUAACACAUGCAAGUCGAACGGUGAAGGGGAGCUUGCUCCCCGGAUCAGUGGCGAACGGGUGAGUAACACGUGGGCAACCUGCCCCAGACUUCGGGAUAACGCUUCGAAAGAGGUGCUAAUACCGGAUACGAACUCCUUGGGCAUCCCGGGAGUUGGAAAGUUUUUUCGGUCUGGGAUGGGCCCGCGGCCUAUCAGCUUGUUGGUGAGGUAACGGCUCACCAAGGCGACGACGGGUAGUCGGCCUGAGAGGGCGACCGGCCACACUGGGACUGAGACACGGCCCAGACUCCUACGGGAGGCAGCAGUGGGGAAUAUUGCGCAAUGGGCGAAAGCCUGACGCAGCAACGCCGCGUGAGGGAUGACGGCCUUCGGGUUGUAAACCUCUUUCAGCAGGGAAGAAGCGAAAGUGACGGUACCUGCAGAAGAAGCACCGGCUAACUACGUG